rnacentral:misc_RNA from 1 species
CGCACAUUGCGCCCUUUGGUAUUCCGAGGGGCAUGCCUGUUCGAGCGUCAUUUCAAACAUCAGGCAAUGCUUGGUAUUGGGCACGGUGCAAGUUACCCGCCUAUAACACAAUUGGCAGUGCCGCCCGGCCCCGAGCGUAGCAAGAGAAAUCACUCGCUCGGCGCCCGUGCGUCGCCCGCCGCGUAAACUUAACCCAGAGUUUGACCUCGGAUCAGGUAGGGAUACCCGCUGAACUUAA